ACGGGAGGCAGCAGUGGGGAAUAUUGGGCAAUGGGCGAAAGCCUGACCCAGCGACGCCGCGUGAGCGAAGAAGGUCUUCGGAUUGUAAAGCUCUGUGUACAGGAACGAUAAUGACGGUACCUGUAUAGAAAGCCACGGCUAACUACGUGCCAGCAGCCGCGGUAAUACGUAGGGAGCAAGCGUUAUCCGGAAUUACUGGGUGUAAAGGGAGUGUAGGCGGGACUGUAAGUCAGAUGUGAAAUAUGCCGGCUCAACUGGCAGACUGCAUUUGAAACUGCGGUUCUUGAGUGAAGUAGAGGUAAGCGGAAUUCCUAGUGUAGCGGUGAAAUGCGUAGAUAUUAGGAGGAACAUCAGUGGCGAAGGCGGCUUACUGGGCUUUAACUGACGCUGAGGCUCGAAAGCGUGGGGAGCAAACAGGAUUAGAUACCCUGGUA
rnacentral:rRNA from 1 species